AGGAAGAUCAAUCCCGCAGCUUGGGUGAGCAGUAAUCCUAGAGAGCAGCUGCAGGCUGCUCUGCUCUCCGGGUCUUCGCUUAAUUCCUGGCAGCCGCAGGAAGAAUAGAGUCAUUUGUUUUCAUUCAGAGAAAUGAAUGCUAUGUGAAGCCUGAAGAGUAAUAACACAGCAAAAUGACAACAGAAGAGCGAGACAGAAAUCUGAAGAUACAAUGGCAGAGUCAUGCUGAGAUUUCCACCUCUCUGCUCUCUCUGGCAAUGAGCUCUGCAGGCUAACAAGGCUCCAUGGACAUCAGCUGGAAGAAAACACCUUUCAGAUUUUCUCCCUCACCACUUCUUGGGAAGAUCUCUCUCAUUCAACUGAAGCAAAAAAGGGGGCAUGACUGAAUAUUUUAAUUAUGUUCCACCACUCUCCCCAAACCAUCACUUGCCCUUUUAAGGGGCUUUUCAUCCCAACCUCGUCCAAGUCUCCGAUCACCAGCAGUUACUUCUUUCCCACUCCUCUUUCCAUCCGGAUGCAAUUCUCCAGAUGCAAGAGCUGUCUUUGCCUCAUGAAGUUGCUCAGCACUUCAGCCAGGGCCUUGAUAAGAUGACCCCAUGUUCUGUCUGUAAACCACCGGUCAUUUGUAAAGCUACUGGCACCGAUGUCGCAUUAGGGCCUUGAAUAAAUAGCUCAGCUCCAUCUCUUUGAAACCAUUUGACUUCUCACCCAAGCGACUUGGCUCAUCCCUCCCCACCUCCUAACACCUUUUGUGCAAAUCUCCACUGAAGAAAUAAAAGCCGCUGGAAGUGUAAGCUGGCCACGCAUGUUGUAACCCUUUGUUAUCUUGGGAGCCCCACUCAAAUGUACAGAGAGAUAAUGUUAAUGAAGUGAUGCGUUUUGUCUGAUCUGGGGUUGUCUCUGAAAGAUAAAUGCCAAAGGCAAAGCAGAAAUAUUUAAUCAAAAAUAACCACCUCAACGUGUUGUAUAUUUUUUUUUCUCCUAUACAGGCAAACCUUGGUCCUGUCAUGGCAAAUUAUUUUGCCAGCAUUAUCUCUGUUAUUUCUAAAUAAUUCCAUUUAGUGCUGGUGACGGGUAGGAGGGCUGAGAUACAAAUCAAAUUAAUUAGAGCGACCCAACAAAACUUGUGUUUGCACUGAAAGAUUCAACAUGGCAGCAUAUCUAGCAGAGAACAAAUUGCAUUCAAAUUAAUUUAAGUGAAAUAAUUUGGGGCAUAUCAGGUUAUUUAGGAUCAAUUUAAUAAGCUAAAUAAAGUCAAGGCAGUGGGUGAUACCAUCAGCCAGUCAAAAGCCAGCUUUGAUAGAGGUUUAUACAGCUGAAUGACAGUUACUUUCGAAGCCAUUAUUAGAAAAGUUGUUUUUUGGAUUGGCUUGGACAAUUAAAAGAGCACCUCAAUUACAGCCACUGGAAAUAUUAGUAAUGAAUAAAUUAUCCAGUAGGUUUGACCCUCCCUUCCUUCACAUCAUUUCCAAAUAAUUAAAUUCCCUGCUGCAUUUUGAGGCAUUGUAUUAAAUUCACCUGCAGUGGAGGAUCAGUGAAAGAGGUGAGCCUUGCUUCAUCCAUUACUCCAGCCCAAAUAGCACUGUUGCAUGUUCUGAUAGACCAGGCACGAGAUUUUGGGGUUUUUCCAGAACAGGGUUAUAUUUGCAGGCAUUUUCCAGGACAGCUGAAGAAAUACCAUUUCCUUCUGGACACAAGCCCUAGUACCCAAGGGAUGUACUGCCAGUACAUCUUUAUUAGCCUGAUUUAAGAGUUGCCUUCAUCCUUUCCCUAUUACCCUUUACCUAGCAGGGACCAGCAGCUGAUGGCCAAUAUUCGGAGGUACAUGUUUCUUACCACUUCAGCCAAAUGAGGUUGUGAUUGCAAAUGGUACAUGCCAGGACAUAAGACAUUAUAGAAAUUUAAAGGCUGCUCACUGAUUUAUGGCUCUUUAAUCAAGGGCUUUUAACAUUUAAUUAUAAAGUUACAGGACUUGUCUUUAUUUCUGAAAAAUCUGCCCAUGGUUGGGGUAAUUGGACAACAUGAAGCUCAAUAUAUCCACAUGUCCUAGGAUUGCAGCCUUCUCUAGAGCAGAGGCAGGGAGGAUGGGCAGCAGGAGAAAUAAAAUACAGCUUUUUCUUAUGGUUUUAAGAUUCUGAAGUCAUUUAAAGUGAUAAAUUAACUGACUUAAUUUUCAAGGAGCUUGAGGAACCAUGAAAGGCUCAUCAGAAGGUCAUACUAAAGAUGCAACAGGCACAUCUUGCACCAUGCAAAGAAAUGCACCAUGCAGCAGAAAGAAGGGUCAAACAAAAAAAAAAUGUGGUGGCCAAGGCUGAGUCUGUCUCACUCCUCAUCCCUCCUGCAGCCCUGCAUGCUGCUGUCCUGUCAGGUGGGAGAGCUCUCUCCAAAUUUCUGCUGGCUUUGGUAAGAGAGAAGAUUUGUGUGUGGGUCAUUCACCUACAAGGUGAUCAUUCCUGGCACCCACCUUGGGCAGCACCCUGCUCCAGAUGUUCCCCAGCUAACACCCAGCGACUGUCAAAAAAUGUCUGAAUAUUCCCCAAAAGGCUAAAAAGUUUUCACAUUUUUCCGCUGAGCAGCAAAGGAGGCUGAGAUGUGUCUCUUAAAUGUAAACAUCACUGGUUAAAUGAGAUGAAUCCUACCCUGUGACUGAAGUAGCAGGAGAAAAAUGACCAUGUGGGCUUCUUGCUGGGACACCUUGUUCACUGUUCCUGCUCAGUGAACAUUUCAUGAUUUCUAAAGAGCAGAAAAGCACCGAAGGAGAGAUGGAGACACACACCAGUGUACCUGCUGCUGGUGGUUCAUAAACUCAGGUCUCCCAUGGUCACAGGCUUUUACCAUUGCCGAAACAGCCCAGGAAGAAAUUUCAUUUUUUUCUGACAAUUUUAUUAUAUGCCUGAAAUAAACCAUCUGCCAGUUUAAUCUCAUUCACACGCUGUGUGUGGAGAUGGAUCAGGAGGGCUUAGCUUUGCCCCGGCAGGCUGGUGACCUUGAAAUUGGAGCUUGUCUCUAUCUCCACUCUUGCUCCUCUCAAGUCUGGUCUUAGUUUGGGAGCUCUUUGCACCAAGGACUGCCUUUCAUUAUGUGUGUGGGUGCUGCCUGGCAAAACAGAGUAGUGAUUCUGGUUAUGGCCUCUCCAGCUCCUCUAGUACAAAUAAUAAUUUCCAUUCCAUCUAUUCUUUGUUUGCUACUGAUCUAUAUUAAACAGUUGGUGAUUACUACAUUUAUGGGUGAUUAUUGCACUUAUGCUGUGUUAAAUCUAAAUGUUUGUUUAUCUUUAUGUGGUCUCUGUGUAUGUUUGCAUGGCUUUUAACUUUAUGUAUUGCAGAGUUCCUUAAUUAUAAAAUCAAUAAAUUUUU